CUGUCAUUCUGCAGGUCAGUAACAGUGUCGUUCUGCAGGUCAGUAACAGUGUCAUUCUGCAGGUCAGUAACAGUGUCGUUCUGCAGGUCAGUAACAGUGUCGUUUUGCAGGUCAGUAACAGUGUCGUUCUGCAGGUCAGUAACAGUGUCGUUCUGCAGAAUGGUUUCUGUUUUAUUUUGCAUUUCAUCAGAAUAUUUAGUCCAUGUAAUGAGAGCUGGAGGGAAACUUUCAACACUGCAGAUCAGACUCAGAGCCUCACCCUCCUUC